rnacentral:lncRNA from 1 species
UCGGGGUCAAUGUCCCAAGAAGAUAUAUGCCUAUCAAUAUACUUAAAGGGACACACGUCCUUUAUCAAGGUCCCACCGUGGUGGACCACCACCUUAAACCUAUCGUCAGACAUCCUAAACCUACCCUGCAAAUGAAAAGGGGGACCACUUUCAUAAAUUAACACCAUGAGACCAAUUUAACACCCAACAGGGGACCAAUUUAACACCCAACA